GACGAACGCUGGCGGCGUGCUUAACACAUGCAAGUCGAGCGGUAAGGCCUUUCGGGGUACCCGAGCGGCGAACGGGUGAGUAACACGUGGGUGAUCUGCCCUGCACUUCGGGAUAAGCCUGGGAAACUGGGUCUAAUACCGGAUAUGACCUCCUAUCGCAUGGUGGGUGGUGGAAAGAUUUAUCGGUGCAGGAUGGGCCCGCGGCCUAUCAGCUUGUUGGUGGGGUAAUGGCCUACCAAGGCGACGACGGGUAGCCGACCUGAGAGGGUGACCGGCCACACUGGGACUGAGACACGGCCCAGACUCCUACGGGAGGCAGCAGUGGGGAAUAUUGCACAAUGGGCGAAAGCCUGAUGCAGCGACGCCGCGUGAGGGAUGACGGCCUUCGGGUUGUAAACCUCUUUCAGCAGGGACGAAGCGGAAGUGACGGUACCUGCAGAAGAAGCACCGGCUAACUACGUG
rnacentral:rRNA from 1 species